ACGUCUCCAGGCCUUUGGCUAGGGGGCAGGAAGGCCACUGAUGGGUAAAGCAAUGGGAAGAAGCUCGCUGAGAGUCAUUUGUGAUGGGUCUUGACAAAAGUAGACAGGAGCAAAGGCUGAGUGUGUUAGCGGGAGAGCAUCAGAGGUCCAUCCAGGUGUAAGGUUCACGUUUCUAUGCAGAGGAGCAGAGGGCCAUGCAGGAGGGCCCAUGGGCUUUGGAAGACAAUGGAGAGCAAAAGAUAGCUGGGCUGACCUGGGCCAAGUUGAUCCUUUGAUUCUCUGGAAGCUCGUCAGCUCCGAAUUCACUCACCUCUUUUGGGGGCUUGUCUUUCUAUCUCUCUGAGCCCUAGUUUCUCCUGCAGAAUAGGCACGAAGAGUGGACCUUGGAGUCCGUUGAAGGAUAGAACAGAUGGCCUGAGGUGGGAGCUGGAACCUCAUGAAGCAAGAGGCUUGCCAGCUCUGCUGGUGUCCACAGGGGCAGAUCCAUGCUGAGCCCUACUCCUCCCUCCAGCCUAGGACAGCCCAACCGAGGCACCUGAAGGCAGGCAUUGUAGAGAAUACUAAGGAGUCCUUGAAGAACAUUUGUCAGGCCUAUGCCUCAGGGACACCGUGAGGCCCGCUCUACCCUGUCAGUCUGCCCAAACCACUGUCCUCAUCCAACCUCCCGGGCCACACGGAACCUCAUUUGCCCUCCUGCAGCAAAUUCUCUGAAAUGGACACAUGUUCCCGGUGCAGCCAGCAGGGCAGGACAGCACCUGGCAGCUGGACAUUCCUUGAGCAAGCACAGGGACUGCAACAGAAUCAAGCAUUGCAGCUUCCCAAAGCUUCUGUGUCUAGCCCUGAGGCUCCAGUGAACCUUAGGGGCUGAAUUAGAAUUUCAAGCCUUGAGCCAAGAGGCUCAGCCCUGUGUGAGUAUGGUUGAGUCUUAGCUAGUGAAUGAGAAACGUGGGAGAGACUCUAGCAGCCAGUAGACUUUGGAGCUAGGAUGCAGGAGGCUAGGGGCCUUGUGGGCUUAACAAGAGUCCGAGGACGCUUUAGUGUUUAGCCAGAAGGGGGAAAUGGCAGAGGUGACAUAGAAAACUCUGAAGGCAGGUGAGCAAAUGAGUGCUAUGAUCUUGUAGAACAUCCUGGAGGGCAGUGGGACAGAGGUGGACAGAGGGCCACCGAGGGGAUUUCAGUUCUAGUCAGAAAAACCAGGCGACUCACGUCCUCACCAAGAGCAAGAAUCUUAG